AUGAUUUGUACUUUUCUACGAGCCAUACAAUAUACGGGGAAGCUGCACAGGUCCUCGGCAAAGCGAUUGCUGUUGCCACACGCUGUGCUCAACGAAGCUGCUUGAAGACUCAGCCCAGUUUGAGAUGGGGGCUUCACUAUCAAAAGAAAACAGUGCGACCUAGAUGUAUUCUUGGAGCCACCCAGAAAGCCAUCUGGACUCAGGGGCCGAGCUCCCGAAAAGCAAAGGAGGAUGGUAGCAACCAAGUGUCGGUGCACAGGAGUCAGAGAGGGGGCACCGCCGUCUCAACAGCACAGAAAGUGAAAGACUUUCAGGCCGGAAGAGAUUUUACCUAUUUAAGAGUGGUGCUCUUUGGAAUCACCAUUACAGGUGGCUUGUUUUACACAAUUUUCAAAGAACUCUUUUCUUCCUCAAGUCCUAGCAAGAUAUAUAGGAGAGCCCUAGAAAAAUGCAGAUCACAUCCCGAGGUGAUCGGUGUCUUUGGUGAGCCUAUUAAAGGCUACGGGGAGGCGACAAAGCGGGGUCGCAGGCAGCACAUCAGUUUCGUUGAAUAUGUAAAAGGUGGGCUAGAACACAUGCGUGUAAAAUUCUACAUCGAGGGCUCCGAGCCAGGGAAGCAAGGAACAGUGCAUGCAGAAGUGAAAGAGGUGUGGGAAUCGUGGGUCGUGGGGUCAGAAGUUCUAAUCGCAGUGUUACUUAAGUUCUAGAAAGGAAAAUAAUACCUGGAAAUACUACAUUUUUUUCAGAACCCAGAAAGUGGUGAAUAUGAUUUUCG